UACGGGGGGAGCAAGCGUUGUUCGGAUUUACUGGGCGUAAAGGGCGCGUAAGCGGCGUAACAAGUCACUUGUGGAAAUCUCCGGGCUUAACCCGGAGCGCCAAGUGAUACUGUGUGCUAGAGUGCGGAAGGGGCUACUGGAAUUCUCGGUGUAGCGGUGAAAUGCGUAGAUAUCGGGAGGAACAGCCUGCGGUGUAGACGGCUUACUGGACCAUAACUGACGCUGGAGGCACGA
rnacentral:rRNA from 1 species